rnacentral:rRNA from 1 species
GUAGGGAAUAUUGGGCAAUGGAGGCAACUCUGACCCAGCCAUGCCGCGUGCCGGAUGAAGGCGCUCAGCGUUGUAAACGGCUUUUAUCGGUGAAGAACUGUAGUCCUGCGGGAUUAUUUGACGGUAGCCGAGGAAUAAGCACCGGCUAACUCCGUGCCAGCAGCCGCGGUAAUACGGAGGGUGCAAGCGUUGUCCGGAUUUAUUGGGUUUAAAGGGUGCGUAGGUGGCGUUUUAAGUCUGGUUUGAAAGCCGGCGGCUCAACCGUCGGAUGUGGCUGGAAACUGGGGCGCUUGAAUUUGGUAGCGGUAGCCGGAACGGGUCAUGUAGCGGUGAAAUGCAUAGAUAUGACCCAGAACACCGAUUGCGAAGGCAGGCUACUGGGCCUUGAUUGACACUGAGGCACGAGAGCAUGGGUAGCGAACAGG